GGGAAGUGUUAAUCAACCCACAGGAUGGGGGGUGCCCAUUUUGGCUUUUCGGGCAGAGGUUAUUUUUAAUGUCACCAGAACCUUCAGUGAGAUGGAACGAUAGGGAAAUGGCCGCCAGGCACCCCGAUUACAAAAAGCAAUCGGAAAGGAUAAGCUGGGGUUUACGAGGCAGCACACGCUGGUGCCACACGGGGAGGAGGUGGUCUGCUUCUAUGACAUGUGACAGGGUCAGAAUGGAAAGCGACCCCCUGAACUCGCGGGAUCUUAGAUCCACUGAUUGCGGGGGUCCUGAUUUAACGUACUGGGGGGAUGCUUGGGUGCCCCGCAAUAAAAAAGUCUAUGAGACACCCUUGACCCUGGGGAAUUACCCCUAUCCGGACAGGGAUACUCCUUAUUUCUUCAGUGAAAUUACUGAGGGAAGGAUGAGUUACCUGAACCCCCAUCUUUACCUAAUGACGAGAGCAGAAGCAAGGAAAGUUAAUUUUACUGCACUCAGACAGGUGAGAGAGUUAGGCGAUGGAAUGGAGACAAUUAACAUCGGGAGUGACUACAUCUCGUUUUACCAGAAACGUUACCAAAAACAAAACAGAAAAAACAACAUCCUUGAAAAAAACAGAUGUGGGGAUAUGUCCAAAAUUCCUGCCGUGGCUCGGUUCCUGGCAUUAGGGUGGAGCAUGAGUGAUGAUAAAGACAUAGAAGAGAAACUUAGCAUUGAGGACGGGGAGGGAAGUGAUUCUUCUUCAGGAGAUGAAAAAGCUGGAGUUGGUUCCCCCGCUAAAAGACGAGGAGAGGAUGGAGAUGAUAUGGGUCCGGAGUGGAAAAAGGAGAGAAUGACUCUGACUGAGGCCCUGUCUGUGCCACCUCCUCGUGCUGUCUCACAGUCUCCUGCGUGUAUGGAGAUGGAAUGGGAGAGAGAUGACAACACAGGAGAGAUCUUCUUUGCCGAAAGGGUGGCCAGAAUAUCCCCCUUCCCCACUGUGAUGAAAGUCGAGUCUGCUGAAGAAGUGGCUGACUGCUUUCCCCCGCUGGAAAAUGAAUCGGAUGAUGAUGGGGCGGAGCUGUUGGGUG
rnacentral:lncRNA from 1 species